CAUUGCAGAGAACUCCAUCAGCUGUGGUUUGAUCCUUGAAAUUUCUGAAAUUUCGACCAUCUUUCAUUUUCUGGAGAUUCGUUGGCAUGGCGACGGUUGUGAAGAGAUUGGGAAGGAGAAUAUCGAUUUCUGCAAGGAAUUUCUCUUCUUCUUCUUCUUCUUCCGUUUCUGCUGCUCUUGAAGAGCAGAAGCAGCUACCAGCCGACGGGAAGAAGCUCACCAACCUCUUCUCUGCAAUCAAUCAGGCACUCCAUAUCGCUCUCGAAACCGAUCCUCGUGCUUAUGUAUUUGGAGAGGACGUGAGUUUUGGUGGUGUCUUCCGUUGCACAACAGGAUUGGCUGAUAAAUUUGGCAAAUCCAGGGUUUUCAAUACACCCCUAUGUGAACAGGGAAUUGUUGGAUUUGGCAUUGGUUUGGCUGCCAUGGGGAAUCGAGUUAUUGCGGAAAUUCAGUUUGCAGAUUAUAUUUUCCCUGCCUUUGACCAGCUUGUCAAUGAAGCAGCUAAGUUCAGAUACCGAAGUGGGAACCAAUUCAAUUGCGGAGGUUUGACAAUACGGUCUCCUUACGGAGCUGUUGGGCAUGGUGGGCAUUAUCAUUCACAGUCACCAGAGGCUUUCUUCUGCCAUGUUCCAGGGCUCAAGGUGGUGAUUCCCCGAAGCCCACUACAAGCAAAAGGACUAUUGUUGGCAUGUAUACGUGAUCCAAACCCUGUUGUCUUUUUUGAGCCGAAGUGGCUUUACCGGUUGGCAGUAGAAGAGGUUCCUGAAAAUGAUUACAUGUUGCCCCUAUCUCAGGCUGAGGUGAUUCGUGAAGGCAAUGACAUAACUCUUGUUGGGUGGGGAGCUCAGCUUGCAGUUAUGGAACAGGCAUGCGCAGAUGCUGCCAAGGAUGGAAUUUCAUGCGAACUUAUAGAUUUACGAACAUUAAUACCUUGGGACAAGGAAACGGUAGAAUCCUCCGUCAGAAAGACUGGAAAGCUUCUUGUUAGUCAUGAAGCUCCCGUGACUGGAGGAUUUGGUGCCGAGAUCUCUGCUUCUAUUGCCGAACGCUGCUUCUCGAGGGUUUUGCAGUUAGAAGCUCCUGUUGCCAGGAUAUGUGGCCUCGACAUUCCAUUUCCUCUUGUUUUCGAACCUUUUUAUGUGCCCACAAAGAACAAGAUCUUGGAUGCAAUCAAAGCAACCGUAAAUUACUAGAGAUCCAUGUAUCCCCUCCCUACAUUUAUUUGGUGAUGGAGGCAGGUAAAAUAAUAAUCUUGUUGCAGCACACUGCCCUUUCAAUGCCCGAAAGAAUUUCGAGUGAUUUUGGACGAUCCUGAUUGACAUGGAUGAAGCUGCAUGGAUGAUGGCCCACUACGUAAACUCGUGUAUGUUAUAAAUGGUUUUGGGCUAAGAUGAUCCAACCCAAAACCUUAAACAAAUGAAGAUAGAAAUAGUAUAAAUGAUUUAUUUAUCUACCGGUGAACCACUUGGUUAUUGAAAAAGUUCUGCGUUGGGUUUGGGUUAGAAUUCUUGACCUGUCUAGUAAAUGGGUCGAGCUUGAGCUGACCCAAUCCAGCUCGAACCCGACCCAUUGUCACCCUUAGCUAGUGGGCUAGUCUGGGAUGGGCUUGGCCUUCAGGUAAGUUAAUGGGCAGGCCAGUUGGUGGGCCAUUACGAUCAUCAUGUCUCUAGAGCUUGCAACAACUAGACUACUAUGAGUUAAUGUUCUUUUAAUACAUGUACCUGAUUGAAGGGUUGAGAAACGUUUUGGACCGGAAAUGCUGGAAUUUGAGCUAUCUGAUUCUAUCAACCGUUGAUUUGUAUUUUUAAUUGAAAUACAUCUCCAUUUAAAAUUCAA